rnacentral:rRNA from 1 species
GACGAACGCUGGCGGCGUGCUUAACACAUGCAAGUCGAACGGUGAGCCUCUUCGUUGGGGAUCUGUGCGGGAGGGGAGCGUAUGAGGUACACGAGAGGAACCCGCCCCUGAGUUAACGAUAACUACUUGGGACUAAUGCUAGUACCUCAUAGCAUCUCGUGCGGCAGGUUGUGGAAUGGAAUUCUUCGUCGGGUGGGGAUGGACGCGCGGCAUAUCAGCUUGUUGGUGGGGUAGUGCCUUACCAAGGCCGUGACGGGUAGCCGGCCUGAGAGGGUGACCGGCCACAUUGGGACUGAGAUACGGCCCAGACUCCUACGGGAGGCAGCAGUGGGGAAUAUUGCGCAAUGGGCGGAAGCCUGACGCAGCGACGCCGCGUGGGGGAUGACGGCCUUCGGGUUGUAAACCUCUUUCGGCAGUGACGAAGCGUAAGUGACGGUACCGGCUAAAGAAGCACCGGCUAACUACGUG